AACGAACGCUGGCGGCGUGCCUAACACAUGCAAGUCGAACGAGAAAGGGGCUUCGGCUCCGAGUAAAGUGGCGCACGGGUGAGUAACACGUGGGUAACUUGCCUCUAAGAUUGGGAUAACUCGUCGAAAGAUGAGCUAAUACCGGAUAAGACCACAGUUCCCGCGGGAACAGGGGUCAAAGGUAGCCUCUGCUUGCAAGCUAUCACUUAGAGAUAGGCCUGCGCACCAUUAGCUAGUUGGUAGGGUAACGGCCUACCAAGGCAAAGAUGGUUAGCUGGUCUGAGAGGAUGAUCAGCCACACUGGAACUGAGACACGGUCCAGACUCCUACGGGAGGCAGCAGUGGGGAAUAUUGCGCAAUGGGCGAAAGCUUGACGCAGCAACGCCGCGUGAGUGAUGAAGGCCUUCGGGUCGUAAAGCUCUGUCGGGAGGAACGAAUGCUCCCAAGGUUAACAGCCUCGGGAGGUGACGGUACCUUCAAAGGAAGCACCGGCUAACUCUGUGCCAGCAGCCGCCGUAAGAC
rnacentral:rRNA from 1 species